AUCGAAUUUCGAAUGGCAUUAGAAUUUUUUAGUAUAAAAAAUUCUAAAUUUAUACAAAAUAUAUGUAUAUAUUUGAAGAGCUACAAUUUUUUAAAAGACUGGAUCGAAAUACCGCUUCAACCGCAGAUGACAACUACAAAAUUUGAAAGAAUAGAAUGAUUGGGAGGGAAUUAAGUGGCAUGUGUAACACGAGCCAUGAAAUUACAAAAUUUGUUUGAUUUGCCUCUCAUAUCGUCAAGAUAUCUAUGAAAUUACUAUUCUUUUCCAAGUACCCUAGAAGCCAAUUUCAGAAUGUGAUACUUUUUCACGAAAUAACACAGCUCGUAAAUUAGAGCUCCGAUAAUAACCUCGUUCGAUCGCACUAAAUUCAAAGUUCUAUAGAGAGAACCGCCGUCUCCGACGCGAUAUUUAUACUCACGCUCCCGCCGCUCGACCGCCAGGUACCGCCGCAAACGCUACAUCCCGCAAUUUUUAAAUCUGUAUUUAAUUGGAUAAGGAUCACUGCUGUAUUGAUUAAAGUCGCUUCGAAGAUUUGUUAUUAUUUGUUAUAAAAAGUAAAUGAUAAAAAAAUGUUAUUGUGGGAUAUCCAUAAGAGAUAGACAUAUAUCGCGGAGUUUACAUUACAUUAUUUCGAUAAAUCUCGUAGGGUU